rnacentral:rRNA from 1 species
GGAUCAGGUAGGGAUACCCGCUGAACUUAAGCAUAUCAAUAAGGCCGGAGGAA